AUCGAAGGAUGUUCAUUUGCAAUUCUGAUGCAUUCAAGGCUCUGAAUUGGCGUUCUGAUAAUUUCUCCAUUGGGGGAAGUUCGUUAAAUACAGUGACAGGAUUAAACGUGAUAUUUUCAUUUCUGGUCAUUCGCUGCAAUUAUUUCUGAUUGCAGUACUGCAUGAGACGAUUACAAAUUGGACAAGCACUGAUUCAAUAGAAUAAUGGAAAUAAUUAAAAAUUACGAAUUCUUAUGUACGUCUACAUAUGUAUCUCGUUUCAGUUAAUGAUAUUUCAAAGUAUCAUAAGUAAAUUAUUUUAAGUAAAUUAUUUUUCCCCCUUGUAUUACAUUGAUAAUUUAAUAAAAAUAGAGAAAAAAAUCAAGAGUAAUGCGUCCGUAAUUUUGUCGAAAGAUUGUAAGGUGAAUAAAGUAUCCCUCGUUUCUACAUUCAUUUAGAAGAAUCAAGGGGAGUAACGAAUGAUGCAUUUAAA